UAGAAUAUGAUUAUUCAUCGUGCUUUUACAAACCUUAUGUUGCACAAUUUAGCCCACUGAAAGUACACAACUCUAAAUACAGCUGAAGUACUUCAAAUAGGUAUACAAUGGCUGAAAUUAUUUGCAUCAUGCUACACACAAGUCCUGUUGAAGUACACAACAGCAGCCACACUGGUCUGCAAAACUGCCUUGUUUGCUCCAUCACCUGUCUCAUAAUAUUAAUGAUCUUUAGCAUCUACAUCAGACUACAUCAACAAUAAUGUAUCCCAAUUUCAUGAGCGCAAGUUAUAAUAAUUAUUUACUAUUUCAAAAAAUAUAAUAAGGUCAUACAUGUAAUCAAUUAGAUAAGAACACAACAUUGGUUCUAUUAGAGAAUACACAUUGCGUUGCCACAAUAUUACAGAUUAAUAUAUUCUAAAUAUUUAAUUUGAUAAAUAAAAUAUAUCUAUACAGACUUUUUGAGUUGUCAUAUAGACCGUCUUCCGGAUUAUUAAAAUAUAGGUGUGGGUGAUGAGAAAAUCGAUUUUGGAUUUGUGUAAAAUAUUUUCGGAGACCCAUAUAUCUUUCACAACAUAACAUGAGCAAUGUCCGACAACAAUGUUCACUAUAAAUAUGUUGCCGAAAUAUAUAAAUAUGUUAUAUGAACCAUGAUUGUUUGCAAACAUUAUGAUUUUUGUGACUUAAUUUGUAGUUGAGAUAGUUGUUAAACUAUCCUGCUAAUACAUAUGAUGAAAUCAUAAAUUGUACAUGAGACAUUAUUCUAGCAUUGGAGGUAGCGCAGGUUCAUUUGUCCUAGUCUGGGAGUACCUGGGCAUGGUUGAAUAUGGAGGGCAGCUGCUGCAUUACAAAGGAGAACCUUAGUUACGGAGAGCUAGUAUGCAAGUGGGCGGUAGGGAUGAAAGUAUAGUCGGCAACGGGUGAAGCUAAAAGGGUAGAAAAUCAAUAGCAGCAGAGUAAUGUGAGUAAAGCAAAACUCGACAACACUUGUAGCCGUGUCUUGGGGAGUUGUAGGUGUGCCUACCAGGGUAUGAAUAGUUUGUUUUGAAUAGUUAAAAAUACCAUAAAACAAAAACACACACACACACACAUAAAUCCACAAAAAUCUUGUAAAUUGUUUAGGUUACUGGUUGGAAGGGAAUGAAAAGCUUUUAUAUAAAAAUUUGUGCGGCUGGCAAAAAAAUUUCAACAAUAAUUCAACAGACUGUAAGACACUGUAAUCCACAUGCCCUGACAAAAUUUUUAAUUCAGAAUUCUACCUUUCGUAGCCACUCUUCAACUGAUCAUAAAUUUUCUGCUCAGUAUGCAUCUUGUAUUCCUAGCAACCCAUAUAGAAAGUAGUAUAUUACCAAUAUCCCUAUGCCUAUAGUUUUCAAUUUUAGUUGCAACUGCUUCAUUCAUACCAUUUUUUAUCACCCCCUGCACUACUGCUAUACAUGAUUUUUUUAACUUUGUUUUCCAUAAAAUAUUUUUCCAACAUAGUGGGACUAAAAUGUAAGCCAACAGUACAUUCAGAGAAGAUCAAACAUUUUGACGAAUCGAAAAUAAAACUUGAUAGUCAAUAAGAGUGAUAAUAAUACCUUUUGUAAGUAAUAGAGAACUUCAAUGGAUAUAAAAUUUAAAGGAGUUCUAACCAAAACCAGAGAUUUGCUAGAGAAAACAGUUCCUACAACAUUUUAAAAAUAAGUAUCAAUAUUGGAUAGAAUAACUUCCUAUAUAUCAAAUAUUCACAUGAAGAUAUUAGAUAACAUGAUGAUAAUGUUAACAAUUGCUUUUCUUAUUUAAGUUUUAACCAUCAAAAAGUGUCUGUGAGAGGUUGAAUUAAAGUAUAUCAAAUUUUAGGAGCACUCUAUUUUGAUCGAUUCCCAUCCCUGAGCACUUUAUCUUUUCAUGUGAUUACUGUCAAGUUUCCAUCAAUAUUUUCAUAGUUGUCCCACCUAACAAAGGAUCUCUACCUCUCUGUCUCUUUCAAAGGUCGUGUAAGUCUCAAAUCCCACACUUAUAUAUCCUAGAAGGUUCUGGUUCCUUCAACCCCAGAUCUCCAUUUUUUAGUUUAUUUUAGACACGUAACUAAAAGAGUGUCUGACUAUAAGCAAUCACUUUUCAAUAUUCAUAGUGUUUACUUUCAGCUAUUGCGCUAGAAACUGGUCCAUAACAGACAGUUAAGUUUGCGACCGAGUACGAAGUAUAUUUCCUCUAGAGGAUAACGGAGACAUGAAAGUAGACACCAUGUAUUAUUGUUGUUUAGGAGCAUUAAUGGUAUGUACAAAUCUGAGGAAUAUAAUAGUAAAGUGUGCAUUUUUCCAACAUGCUUAAUAUCAUUGAGAGAGUUUUGAUAUUGUUGGAAUUAUUAUCAGCAAGUAGGCAUAAUUAUAAUCUUACCCAGAUAUGUAACGUUUUGUUGUUUUCUAAUGAUUAUUUUCACACGGUAAAAAUAAACAGCUCAUUUAUGUAAUUGAAAUUUAAGAGACAAAUGAGUACAAUACCUUAAUGCUUGCAAUGGAGAUGCGAUUGGUUAUGUGAUAGAAGAUGAUGAAGAAAAUUGAUGAGAGAGCACCUGUAAGAAAGAGAAGCAGUAAAUUACCAAAAGUAUCUGAUCAUCUAACAAAAAUGAUAACAUUUAACUGUGUUUGGUCCUUAAUACUUUGCUUCAAGAAGAUGGGAUUGCUAUUGUUAUAGACUUACAUUUUAGUAGAAAGGAGGAAGGCAUUAUUAUUGUAGACUUACUAAUAUGUGUUCUUUUCUUGACAUAAUUGGUGUUAAGGGUCUGUGAAGUGAUCAGUAGGUGCAAGGGUUAGCAAUACAGCUAGGGUAAGUGAUGGUUAUCAUGUAUAUUUGAAUUUCAACUAACUUAUCUGAAUUAGCAAAAUAAGAAAGUAAUCAUGUUCUAAUCUAUCCAAGUCAAAAUUAACUUUUAACUCGUACUCAAAAAUUUAAAAUCUAAGGUCUCACAAAUUACUCAUAGCAUCAACAAUUUGGUGACGAUAAAUAGAUAUUGUGUAUGAACGCAAGUGCACUAACUGACAGAGUUGCAUGGCAGAGGCCAGGAGAAAGAUCAUGGCAACUGUUAUAUUUCUACAAAACAACGUGAAACUCACCUCAAGAUCAAGAAAUAUUACGGCGAUGGAACAUGAUUGCUAACACACCCAGAGCACUUACAUGCAGACCUUGUUGGUGGGCUUCACCUCCACCAACAAUGUUAAUGUAAAUUGCUACAGAGCAAUUUUUAACAUUGUUAAGCACUUAAGCUAUUGCCGCCUGGAGAGAAGCAAAUUUCUAAGUUGAUCAAGCUUUUACUUUUGAGUUAUAUUUAUACCCAGGUAAACUAUCACGAAUCUAUCAAAGAGAGGGUGUCUAGGAAGCCUGCUAUAGGUUUGAUUAACUCGGUUAAGGAAGUUUGUGCAAUUAAUUGGUGACCAUAUGGUGCAAAAUGAUACAGUCCCUCCUAUCUAACAGUUUGAGUUCUGUUAUAAAAGAUUAUAAUACUAUCGGUGGAUAAUAUCGUAUGUCUUCACUUAAUAUGAUCGAGUUUGAAAAAGAUAAUGGUUGGGGUGAUCUUUAUGACCUAACAACAUGCCUAAAGAUUAACAUACCCCACAUGUUUCAAUUACCAAAGAACCACCACCUCUAUUCUUCAGUUACUCAUGGACAACUCUACGAAAUCCUUGUCACCAAACGACACCAGACAAAAUAUAACAAUAUGAGGUACCUACGAGAAAAACAACAUUUAUAAGCAGACUUUAUCAUCAGAUAGUAACUUCUCAGACUCAUAAUAAUUUAUUCAUUAUUGUUACGCAACUAAUUAUAAUGGUUGUACCAUUGGUGAAUGUUUCAUCUUACGCAUCAGCCUUGCUCACACUUAAGUUAUUAAGAUGAGGAAGAAGAAAUCAAUUCGAAUUGGACUUUAUAUUCUAUUAAAAGUUAAUUGAAACACUUACCUAGUAACUGUGGGAGCUUACCAAUCAACCAACAAUAUCCUUCAAUAUGGUAUCUACUAUUAUCAUAAAACAAAUGCUUUAAUAUGACCAUUGUAGGGUACUCCAAUGCACUUUUCUCAAGAGAACUAUGCUGCCUCUAAUAAAAUUUUCACCCAGACGUUUUAAGCAUUUUAUUCCCCUGUUACAGACCACUAAAAUAGCUUAAAAGUUGACACGAAUGGUAAAAUAUGAGGGGCAUCUAAAAUCCCCAUGAUCUAUUGAGCUCCAAUAAUAAGUUGUUUUUGCUUGGACAGUACCACCUACAACCUUAAUGUCAGAGUUCUAGAUCUAAUAAUUAUAUUCAGGCACACAAUCAUCUACUAUUAUACUACCUCUAAUCAUAGAAUAUCAGUCCUUGUACAAAACUAAAAAUUGCAAUCUGAUAGAAAUUGCAAUAUGAUAAUUUUUCAUUAAAAUUUUCCAUCUGACUGAUAACAUUGAAGCAAUGUGAUUGAGUUACCUUUUGGAUGAAACCUUAAUCUCAAUUUGAGUACCUAAACCAGUGAACAUGCAUUUACUUUUCUCAUACAACUCACAAAAUAUCUUUAGUUAGGCAUGAAGUAACAGGUGGGCAUAAAAACGUGGGUUGUCUUAGAAUGCAGCUACAAAACACCCAUAGAAAUACAUUUGUCCUGAGUGACAAUUUGUUCGUGAUGAAGGAGAAAGAGCCAUCAAAAAUUGCAUUGGUUAUUAUGUGCUUAAGAGGAAGGCAUUCAAAAUAGUUCACCAAAUAACAAAAAUAUAACAUCUACUUAUUCAAAAAAGGUAGAUACUAUGAUUGAACUUUAAAAGACAACCAAUAAAAUACCUGAAAAACAUUUAUAAAUAUAAAUUAUUUACCUUGAUUACUAAAAUCAUAAUAGAGUUCUUCCUUUGAAAGCAAAUUUCUGCUUGUAGUCUCCAAUACCUUAUAGCGUUAACCACGCAUGUCUUGUACCCCUCCUCUUUAAAGGUCUCAAAAUGCCCAUUCAAAUAUUCAGUAAAGUUUCUCCUCAUGCUUCGUCACUCCAUGUUUUCCUUCAUUUAGGUUUGGGUAUUGAGUUUUGGUUCAGAGCUUGGCUACUACCACAGGAUCAGAUUUGAAGUUCUUAUUGGUGGUUACGCCUGCCUUAGUUAUAGUUCUUGAACUCAUUAAUAACUAUUCCUCCUCUCUCUUUGAAAACCUUUUUUUUUUGUAAUUCAUCUACUAUUUCCUUCUGGCUGGCUCCCUUCUUUAGCUUGCCCAUUUAUCUGCAAUAUUGCAAAUCGAAAACAAAGUUUAGCAAAAAGGAUAGAAUAUCUGAACUCUUAGUUGUAAAGCUUUGACAUGACAACAUUGAAUUAAGUUUGUAGUGCCCAAGCUAAUGCCUUAAAAAAAAAGAUAUGAUAGAGGAAAAAAACUGCACAAAAUCAAAUUAUAGUAGGUAUAGAACAUUGAGUGAUAUUUAACUACAAAACCACCAAAUUAACCCUCACAUGGAUUAGUAAUGUUCGAGUUUGCUCCAUAGUAUCCUGUUAAACAUGUGUAUUUCUAUAGGGUUUAAAUUAAAGUACAUUGGGUUCUGCUGUUGUAUAGCAUGAGUGACUUACAUAGUAAAGAAAGGAAGAAAGGUUGGUAAACAAUUGUUAGGGAUUAAACGUUGUAUAGAUAGUGUUAUGAUAGAAAGUUUUAUGUACCUGAUGAUAAUAAAUGCCCCAUUUCAAAUAUGGUAGCUCUUAGCUUCUUAGUAAUGAAAACUCAAUUCUCUCUCCCCUAAAUUCAUUGCUUGAAGUUGCCAAUUUUUUCUAACUAAUAAAGUAUGCAUGUUGGCCGUAUAACUUUAUCUGGUCAAGGUUGAUCAACAUUUGUGGACCGAGUAAGAUUUCAGAUUAAUUAAGGAAUAGCUGAGCAACGCAACUAAAUUUGUAUUCUUUCACAGGUCACUAUAAUUUUUGGGGUUGGAAUACAAUUUUGGGUAUGAAACACAAUCAUAUUGUUUAAUCAAUUGAGAAGAAGAAUUCGGGGAAAUGUUAUAUUUAAAGAGAAUAAUAUAGAAUAAUUUUGGGUUGGGAUUUAAACUGUUCUGAUUUAUAUAAUAGUUUGGUUUUCCUUCACUUCAUGCUUUGCUAUAUAAGGUUUUAACAAUCUCAAUCAAUGAUAAAAGAGACAUAUAUGUGGAAGUCGAUGUUUUUCAAGGGAUAUAAACCACAUAAGUAUAGUCUUGAAGUAAAUUGUUUCCUACCAGGUAAGGUGUAUUAGUGUAUGUGGUGGUUGACAUCAAGACAGUAUUCUGCCAGAUGGAAGCUAGCUACAGCCAAGCUGGUCAAGUGGAGACUUACACACACCUAUAGGUAGGCAAAUUUUGCAGAAGAUGCGACAACAAAGUAAGGAACACAGCUAGACACAGGAAUCUCCGUAUGGUCUACGCAGAAACCAGUUUUUGUAACUGCUACUGCAUGUCCUGGUAGAGCCUACUUUAGUUUUGUUUAAACUGUGCUCAAUGGGACUCUGCUGUAAAAUAAAAUCUCCAUUCAUAGCCAGAAUCUGGAUGACAUUUAGGAUUCACAUUCAUAGCCACCCAGGAAACAUCAACAUAUUCAUUCAUCCUUAGUUAGUAGUGAAGGUACCACCAGAAAAAGAAAACACACACACACACACACACACACCAUAUGUCCACUAAUCUCUGAGCUACUUGCAAAAGUACUAUCUUAUGCUGGCACCAUGACGCGUACAAACCUUAAUGAAAGAGGCAAUAAUGAAUUAAUGAAGAAACUGAAUAUUAUUGGGAAAUAAACUAUCUCACCCUCACUACCAUAGACUACUGUAUUAAUUACCAUCACUAUCUUAAUCAAAAGGGUUGGAUUGAUAAAAAUAUCACUACCAUAUCUGCUGUAAAAUAAAAUCUUCCUACUUGUUAAAAUAGACUACCUCACCAUCACUACCAUAGACAAUCUCAAUCAAAAUGGUUGGAUUGAUAAACAGAUAUUAAAUGCAUAUGGAUGACCUGGUGAGUACGAUAAUAUCAUCGGGUAGCUAAACUCUAUAGUUCUAACUCUUAUUGGAUUAAAAAGAGCAUGAACAGUAGGUGAGAAUUAUGAACUUCACGUUUCUAAUUCAGGGAGGUCUAAUAAAACACAGUAAUUUCUAAUACUGCAGAGUGCAGACUAUUAGUCUAAAACCGGUUUAUCCUGCGGUUUUCCUCACAGCUACAUAAAAUUUUAUCCUUGCGACUCAGAAAGACACAGUCUUUACUGCUACUAUAAUUCAUGCAUUGAAGCAUUCGAUUUAGCCUUAGGUUGUAGUCGCCAGUCGGCUCUCUUCCGUUAUUUUGAUGGCAUGCAUUACUAGGGUAAUGCGGUUCAUAAUAGUUUAGGAUCGAUAUGCGUAUUCAUAUAUAUAUGUCAUUUCGUAAAUAAGAAAUUCCCAGUUAGUUAUUAGAAUCAGUAACUCGAAAGCCCUAAUUCCUUCAUAUGAAUCUGCAUUCUUAUCGCUCGUUACAUUGCAUGAUAAACUAAAUACAUCAUCACGUACUCCAAAAUCGAGUAACUGACAUGGUAGAUGAUUUAAUGGAAAGAAAAUACUAUAUACUCUACUGAUAUUAUUGGCAGUUUGUAUUAACCAUAUGUGAUCACCAGUUAACACAAAAUUUUCUAAUAUUAUCAGUUUCUGCAUGUUUUGAGUUCUUACCUUCGUUUGAGCUGACGAGAGGUUAAUCUGUUUCUGUUCCUGAACUGCAGAGCAACUGCCCCUGCGGACUUGGGGGACUCAAUUACUGAUGAUGUUAAUGAGGAAGAAAUUGAAGUGGACAUUGACGCGGACUUGGAGAACUCAUCUGGCUCUGAUUUGGAGGACUCAUUUGGCACUGACGAUAUUAAUGAGGAAGUAAUUUGACAGAAAAUUUUGACUGCCAAGGCAUAUAUGUCAAGAUUGAUCAGAAAAAUUUGACAAUGGUAUAGCAUUUGGUUUAUUUAUCGUUAUCUUGAAGUUUAGCUUUAAAUAAUUAUUUUUCAAAUAAUUAACUUGAAUCUGUGAGUGGCUCAAUGGCCUAGCAUUGGGUUUAUUUCUCGUGGAUCUUGAACUCCAGAUUUGAAAGAUUAAUUGCUAUUCAGAUAUAAAAACUUGAAUCUGUUUCGCACUUUGGCUUGCGAAAAACUGAGAUAAUUAAGUCAUUGUUAUGAAUUAUGACUUUCUUGACAAUAUUUUAUUGCUAGUUUUAAUUUUUAUAUUUGUCAACAUCAUCUUCCUAUUACUGCUAAAGCUACAGAUGAGAUCGAGUGUAGUUAUUUCGCCAUCUCAAGUUUUGAAUGCAGGCCUUUCCGUCUAGGUUUGUGUAGGAGCAUUAGCCUCAACAGCCUACGAAGCCUUGCUCACGAGCUUAAUUACAUAAUGUUUACUCGGCCCAAAAUUUCUAUUAGUUUAUUAAUUAUGUUAGUUUUCAAUGCGAUCACUCAUUCACUUGAGUGAUCACAAGCCGAAAGUGAAACAAUGUAUAGAUACCUUCAUGAUUACUUUCUAUACAGAAUUAACAUUGUCACGCAUUAAGAAAGAAAGCCGCAAUUGCAAAAAUAACUUUUAUAUUUGAGCAUUCAAUUUCUAUACAUGAUGAGAGGGUAAAAGAAAACACUGCAAGUACCUAAGAGCAUCAUCUAUAUAUUAACCUAAAUAUAGACAACAUAUUACACUAAAAAAAACUCAUACUAACCUUCUCAACUUUCGUCAUUUUACUAUCAUCAUCACUCCCUUCAUUACACAACCCAGUUAGUUCAGAUGACAAACAACAACCUGUAGAUUGAAGUUCUUUAGAAA
rnacentral:lncRNA from 1 species